GAGCCGGGGGCCCGAACCGGAUCCUUAUGCAAACCCUGGUUUGUAUAUUUUUAAGGCAAAGGAUAUAAAAGCUGCUCAUCUGUGUGAGUGGACAACUUGACCCUUGGUGGAAAACAGUCUUUCAGAGAAUCAUCUGGAAGUUAAGAACACUAAUACCUGAUAGCCAGCUGCUACAAGCCUAAGGCUGUGUAAGACUUCAAAUCCCCAAGAAGAUUUUUCAGCAUAUCCAGAGCACAGUGGAGGAGUUCAAACCCAGAGUCGACAGUCAAUCAGAGUUCUGCUGGCUCCUAACAAAGAGCUGAGCCCCUGGCCUCUUACAUCAUCAUUCUGUAGUCUUGUUGGCCAGCCAGGUCAGUGGAAGACUCGGGAUUUCACUGGAGCAGGUGCAUCAGCAAAGGCUUUCCUGGACAUCCACAGACUUCCCCUAAGAAUGGACUCCUUUCAGCAGAACUCCAACAUCAGCAUUAAGUCAGAUGUGCCCUCCCUACUAAACCACUCCAGGGAUAAAACUGAACCAUUGCUAAAUGCCCACAGGAGUGUGGCCCUCUGAAAAAUGAGCAUAAUAAUUACUGACAGUCAUGGCGGCAGUGAAUUUUAAAAAUGUGUGUGUGGAGGAGUAUGAUCUGAGAAGUCAAAAACUAGAGGUUGCCCUCCAAGGGUUAAACUAAUUAAACUGACACAUAAUAGUGGGUGACAGAAGGAACUUAGAGGCUCAGGGGAAAGUCACCUCACCACUGCCUUGGUUAGUAAUGUUACAUCCGAAAGUGUCAGCAGAGGAAAGUUCCACACUGAAAAUGGGGGAGCUUGGGGAGAGAGAUGUAAAGAUGAUCUUUCCAGAUGUCCCCUAGCAAUAGUAAUCGCAGUGUUUAAUGCUUGACCUGGGCCAACUCAAAUAUCAUACUGACACAAAUCCCAAGACUGCAGAAAUGGGACAGGCAGCAGAAGCACUGAUUCUGGUGGAUAUUUUCACUAGUUCUGCGUCUGUUCAUGAAGUAGCACCCACACCUGUCAUUCAGCUGUGGGGGAUAUACAAUCCUGUCUCCCACCACACUGGAUGCCAUAGGGUUGAGAUUUGACCCAAGUCAAACAUAAUGUAGUUUCUGUCCCUAUGAAAUAUGAGCCUGCGACACAGCUCACCGGGGUAGGGUCCUGGGCCUGCUUUCUCAUACACAGGAACUAGGUUUGAGCCCAGCCCCCAAUUGCACUGAGGGAAACUAUGGUAUUUUCUCCUUUCUCCCUCUGCCCUCCUCUCUUUUCAUAGUAUUUGAAAAUGGUGACCCAGAGUAGUGAAGUUUGGGUGAUUAAAGAAAAAAAAGAAUAAAUAAAGCACUUACAGGCUUGGAAUUUCAAUUUUAACACCUAUAGGGCUGAUUAUUCCUCCCCAGGUGCUGAAUCUACCAUGGAGUUUCUGCCAAUGGUUCAGAAUAAAAUCUAGAUUUUGAUAGACAGUUUAUAUAGAAUUUUCCACUAUAAACAGUAAAAAUGUUCUUUAACUUUAUUUUUUUAGUCUUUUUUUUCAUUUUAUUGUAGUUAUUACUGUUGUUGUUACUGAUGUCAUUAUUGUUGGAUAGGACAGAGAGAAAUGCAAAGAGGAGGAGAAGACAGAGGAGGAGAGAAAGAUAGACACCUGCAGACCUGCUUCACCGCCUGUGAAGUGACUCCCCUGGAGGUAGAGAGCCGGGGGCUCAAACCGGGAUCCUUAUGCCAGUCCUUGUGCUUUGCGCCACCUGCGGUUAACCCGCUGAACUAGCACCCGACGUUCUUUAACUUUAUAAAUUAGACACUUCUGCAACAAAAAAAGUAUCUGUGAUGUUUGUGCGUCUCUACUAUUUAGCAACUAUUAUUGAUUUUCUCCAUUUAAUACUUUGGGCUCCCUUAAAGAUUAGAUGUCUAUAGGUGUGGUGAUUUUCUUACUGCCUUUAUUUUCAUUUAUAACUAUGAUCUAUAUAAUAUUUAUUUAUUAACUGUUAUAAGUGAUCCUGUUUAUAGGAUCAAAAGAUAGCUCACUGGGAAGGGCG